rnacentral:rRNA from 1 species
GAUGAACGCUAGCGGAACGCCUAACACAUGCAAGUCGAACGAGAGUUAUUUUGUAGCAAUACAAGAUAAUAAAAGUGGCAAACGAGCGAGUAACACGUACGUAACCUGCCCAGAAGUUGAGGCCAACUACAGAGAUGUAGCUAAUCCUCAAUAGUAUCUAAGUGACGAAAUUAGCUUAGAUUAAAGAUUUAUCGCUUUUGGAGGGGGGUGCGUCCUAUCAGGUUGUUGGUGAGGUAAUGGCUCACCAAGCCUAUGACGGGUAGCCGGUCUGAGAUGAUGUCCGGCCGCGAUGGGACUGAGAUACGGCCCAUACUCCUACGGGAGGCAGCAGUGGGGAAUCUUGCACAAUGGGCGAAAGCCUGAUGCAGCGAUUCCGCGUGGAGGAUGACGCAUUACGGUGUGUAAACUCCUUUUCUGGUGGAAGACGAAUGACGGUACACCAGGAAUAAGGGACGGCUAACUACGUGCCAGCAGCCGCGGUAAUACGUAGGUCCCAAGCGUUAUCCGGAUUUACUGGGCGUAAAGCGUCUGUAGCCUGAUAUGUAAGUCUGUUUUCAAAUACCUGGACUCAAUCGAGGGAAGGGGAUAGAUACUGCAUAUCUAGAGAUAUUUGAGGGUUAGUGGAAUUUCCGGUGGAGCGGUGAAAUGCGUUGAUAUCGGAAAGAACGCCAAGAGCGAAAGCAGCUAACUACAAUACAUCUGACGGUGAGAGACGAAAGUUUGGGUAGCAAACGGGAUUAGAUACCCCGGUAGUCCAAACCUUAAAUUAUGCUUGCUCGGUGUUUAGAUCCUUCGGGAUUUGAGUGCCGUAAUCUAACGAGUUAAGCAAGCCGCCUGGGUAGUAUAUUCGCAAGAAUGAAACUCA